rnacentral:misc_RNA from 1 species
GAUGAAGAACGCAGCGAAAUGCGAUAAGUAGUGUGUAUUGCAGAAUUCAGUGAAUCAUCGAAUCUUUGAACGCACAUUGCGCCCCUUGGUAUUCCAUGGGGCAUGCCUGUUCGAGCGUCAUUUGUACCUUCAAGCUCUGCUUGGUGUUGGGUGUUUGUCUCGCCUUGCGCGUAGACUCGCCUUAAAACAAUUGGCAGCCGGCGUAUUGAUUUCGGAGCGCAGUACAUCUCGCGCUUUGCACUCAUAACGACGACGUCCAAAAGUACUUUUUACACUCUUGACCUCGGAUCAGGUAGGGAUACCCGCUGAACUUAAGCAUAUCAAUAAGCGGAGGA